rnacentral:rRNA from 1 species
UGGGGAAUAUUGGCACAAUGGGCGAAAGCCUGAUGCAGCAACGCCGCGUGAAGGAAGAAGGUCUUCGGAUCGUAAACUUCUGUCCUUGGGGAAGAAGAACUGACGGUACCCAAGGAGGAAGCCCCGGCUAACUCGUGCCAGCAGCCGCGGUAAUACGUAGGGGGCAAGCGUUAUCCGGAAUUAUUGGGCGUAAAGAGUACGUAGGUGGCAACUUAAGCGCAGGGUUUAAGGCAAUGGCUCAACCAUUGUUCGCCCUGCGAACUGGGAUGCUUGAGUGCAGGAGAGGAAAGCGGAAUUCCUAGUGUAGCGGUGAAAAUGCGUAGAUAUUAGGAGGAACACCAGUGGCGAAGGCGGCUUUCUGGACUGUAACUGACACUGAGGUACGAAAGCGUGGGGAGCAAACAGGAUUAGAUACCC